ensembl:snRNA U6 U6 spliceosomal RNA
AUAUCCUCUGUGCUCAAUGUAUAUACUAAAACUAGAACAAUACAAAGAAGGUUAGCAUGGCCCCCAUGCAAGGAUGACACGCAGAUUCGAGAAAAUAUCCUCUGCAGU